GACGAACGCUGGCGGCGUGCUUAACACAUGCAAGUCGAACGGAAAGGCCCUGCUUUUGUGGGGUGCUCGAGUGGCGAACGGGUGAGUAACACGUGAGUAACCUGCCCUUGACUUUGGGAUAACUUCAGGAAACUGGGGCUAAUACCGGAUAGGAGCUCCUGCUGCAUGGUGGGGGUUGGAAAGUUUCGGCGGUUGGGGAUGGACUCGCGGCUUAUCAGCUUGUUGGUGAGGUAGUGGCUUACCAAGGCUUUGACGGGUAGCCGGCCUGGGAGGGUGACCGGCCACAUUGGGACUGAGAUACGGCCCAGACUCCUACGGGAGGCAGCAGUGGGGAAUAUUGCACAAUGGGCGGAAGCCUGAUGCAGCAACGCCGCGUGCGGGAUGACGGGCUUCGGGUUGUAAACCGCUUUCGCCUGUGACGAAGCGUGAGUGACGGUAAUGGGUAAAGAAGCACCGGCUAACUACGUG
rnacentral:rRNA from 1 species